rnacentral:rRNA from 1 species
CUACCAUGCAGUCGAGCGGUAAGGCCCUUUCGGGGGUACACGAGCGGCGAACGGGUGAGUAACACGUGGGUGAUCUGCCCUGCACUCGGGGAUAAGCCUGGGAAACUGGGUCUAAUACCGGAUAUGAGCUCCUGUCGCAUGGCGGGGGUUGGAAAGGUUUACUGGUGCAGGAUGGGCCCGCGGCCUAUCAGCUUGUUGGUGGGGUAAUGGCCUACCAAGGCGACGACGGGUAGCCGGCCUGAGAGGGCGACCGGCCACACUGGGACUGAAACACGGCCCAAACUCCUACGGGAGGCAGCAGUGGGGAAUAUUGCACAAUGGGCGAAAGCCUGAUGCAGCGACGCCGCGUGAGGGAUGACGGCCUUCGGGUUGUAAACCUCUUUCAGCAGGGACGAAGCGAAAGUGACGGUACCUGCAGAAGAAGCACCGGCCAACUACGUGCCAGCAGCCGCGGUAAUACGUACGGUGCGAGCGUUGUCCGGAAUUACUGGGCGUAAAGAGCUCGUAUGCGGUUUGUCCCGUCGUCUGUGAAAACCCGCAGCUCAACUGCGGGCUUGCAGGCUAUACGGGCAGACUUGAGUACUGCAGGGGAGACUGGAAUUCCUGGUGUAGCGGUGAAAUGCGCAGAUAUCAGGAGGAACACCGGUGGCGAAAGCGGGUCUCUGGGCAGUAACUGACGCUGAGGAGCGAAAGCGUGAGUAGCGAACACGAUUAGAUACCCUGGUAGUCCACGCCGUAAACGGUGGGCGCUAGGUGUGGGUUUCCUUCCACGGGAUCCGUGCCGUAGCUAACGCAUUAAGCGCCCCGCCUGGGGAGUACGGCCGCAAGGCUAAAACUCAAAGGAAUUGACGGGGGCCCGCACAAGCGGCGGAGCAUGUGGAUUAAUUCGAUGCAACGCGAAGAACCUUACCUGGGCUUGACAUAUACCGGAAACACCUAGAGAUAGGUGCCACCUUGUGUUCCGUAUACACGUGGUGCAUGGCUGUCAUCAGCUCCUGUCGUGAGAUGUUGGGUUAAGUCCGGCAACGACUGCAACCCUUGUCCUGUGUGGCCAGCGCGUAAUGCCUGGGACUCGCAGCAAACUGCCGAGGUCAAUCCGGAGGAAGUUGGGAACGACGUCAAUCUUCAUGCCCCUUAGUCCAGGGUUCCCCCUCCCACAAUGGCCGGUCCAAGGGCUCCAUACCUUAAGUGGAAAAAUCCCUUAAACCGGUCCGGUUGGAUCGGGUUGGAACCCCACCCCGUAAACCCAAUCCCUUGAA